CAGGCCGUUAAUGACGCUCAUGCACGAAAGUGCGGGGAUCGAACAGGAUUAGAUACCCUGGUAGUCCGCACAGUAAACGAUGAAUACUUGCUUUCGGCGAUACACAGUCGGAGGCAAAGCGAAAGCGAUAAGUAUUCCACCUGGGGAGUACGCCGGCAACGGUGAAACUCAAAGGAAUUGACGGGGGCCCGCACAAGCGGAGGAACAUGUGGUUUAAUUCGAUGCUACGCGAGGAACCUUACCCGGGCUUGAAAGUUAGCGACGGCGGAUGAAAGUCUGCUUCCCUUCGGGGCGCGAAACUAGGUGCUGCAUGGUUGUCGUCAGCUCGUGCCGUGAGGUGUCGGCUUAAGUGCCAUAACGAGCGCAACCCUUUUCUCCAGUUGCCAUCGGUUCGGCCGGGGACUCUGGAGACACUGCCAUCGCAAGAUGUGAGGAAGGAUGGGAUGACGUCAAAUCAGCACGGCCCUUACGUCCGGGGCGACACACGUGUUACAAUGGGAGGGACAGAAAGCUGCGAAGUGGUGACACCGAGCCAAUCUCCAAACCUUCUCCCAGUUCGGAUCGGAGUCUGCAACCCGACUCCGUGAAGCUGGAUUCGCUA
rnacentral:rRNA from 1 species